AUUGAACGCUGGCGGCAGGCUUAACACAUGCAAGUCGAACGCGUGGCGGACGGGUGAACAAUGAUUGGGAAUCUAGCUUAUGGAGGGGGAUAACUACGGGAAAAUGUCGCUAAUACCGCGUACCAUAGGACGAGCACAAGUGGUAUUAGGUAGUUGGUGAGUGAAAGGCUCACCAAGCCGACGAUCACUAGCUGGUCUGAGAGUAUGACCAGCCACACUGGGACUGGGACACGGCCCAGACUCCUAAGGGAGGCAGCAGUGGGGAAUAUUGCGCAAUGGGGGCAACCUGACGCAGCCAUGCCGCGUGAAUGAAGAAGGCCUUCGGGUUGUAAAGUUCUUUCGGUAGCGAGGCGUUAGCUACAGAAGAAGCACCGGCUAACUCCGUGCCAGCAGCCGCGGUAAUAC
rnacentral:rRNA from 1 species